UCCGUAGGUGAACCUGCGGAAGGAUCAUUACCUAGUUGACCCGACGAUAGUCGAGGAACAACAAGCGAGAGCUUCGGCUCGAGCUGGAGUCGCUAACUUCGCAAGAAGUUAGAGUGACUCUCUGCUGCGCAGAACUAGUGGCAGUCUUCUCGCUAAGACUGGCGCGACUAGUGUGGUAUUCGUGUAGCGCUGUUACACGUCUAUCGAAACAACCAAACCAAAUCUAAACUUAACAAAAGUUAACCACUUGAACCACUGUUAGCGGCGGAUCACUUGGCUGACGGGUCGAUGAAGAACGUAGCAAACUACGUUAAUCAGUGUAAACUGCACAAUAGCAGAACACUUGAACUUCGAACGCACAUUGCGGCUAAAGGGUAACUCCUCUAGCCUUAUCUGCGUGAGGGCUGUAUAGAGAUAUUGAACCCAUGUGUAGGGAGUGAUCACUUGAACGUGAGACUCCGCAGAGUGAACCUCGCUAGUGGUCUCUGACUGCUGGACGGUCUCAGGGGCAGGGGCAAGGACCCGGCGGGGGGUUAGGCGAAGGGUGGACUAUCACUCAGGUCACACAAACACAUCUACAACAGCCUCACGUCAGGUAAGAUCACCCGCUGAACUUAA
rnacentral:rRNA from 1 species